UACGGAGGGUGCAAGCGUUACUCGGAAUUACUGGGCGUAAAGCGCACGCAGGUGGCUGAGUCAGUCGAUUGUGAAAGCCCUGGGCUUAACCUGGGAAUUGCAGUCGAUACUACUCGGCUCGAGUAUGGGAGAGGGCAGUGGAAUUCCCGGUGUAGCGGUGAAAUGCGUAGAUAUCGGGAGGAACAUCAGUGGCGAAGGCGGCUGCCUGGCCCAAUACUGACACUCAGGUGCGACAGCGUGGGGAGCAAACAGG
rnacentral:rRNA from 1 species